UACGAAGGGGGCUAGCGUUGCUCGGAAUCACUGGGCGUAAAGCGCACGUAGGCGGCUUCUUAAGUCAGGGGUGAAAUCCUGGAGCUCAACUCCAGAACUGCCUUUGAUACUGAGGAGCUUGAGUCCGGGAGAGGUGAGUGGAACUGCGAGUGUAGAGGUGAAAUUUGUAGAUAUUCGCAAGAACACCAGUGGCGAAGGCGGCUCACUGGCCCGGUACUGACGCUGAGGCACGAAAGCUAGGGGAGCGAACGGG
rnacentral:rRNA from 1 species